GCGGACGGAAUAGAAGACACCCGUUUAUUUUCUUCACCUGUCAGGAUAAAGGUUCAAAAAAGAUACUAGAAAGAUGUAGUAUUUUUUUUAUUCAGAUGAAUAUAAAGUGCAUACAUGUGUGUAUUGUCUUGUGGACUGAAUCGGAUGUUUUUUUUCUUCUUCUUGUCUUUGUUCCAUGACAUGUUAAUGAUGCACUGGUGGUUGAUUAUCCCCCUCGGUAUCUUCUUACUCUUUACAUGAAUAUAAAUCAUGUAAUAAAAUAUUUAAUUGCACUUUAAAAAUAUAUGCCAGAAAUUUUAAAAUUAUAAAUUACUCAUAACCUAUUUAACAUUACUACGUAUAUUAAUUACUAAGCCCAUAUUUCAUUAAAAACUCGC
rnacentral:lncRNA from 1 species